rnacentral:rRNA from 1 species
GUGGGGAGUCUUGCGCAAUGGGCGAAAGCCUGACGCAGCCAUGCCGCGUGAAUGAUGAAGGUCUUAGGAUUGUAAAAUUCUUUCACCGGGGACGAUAAUGACGGUACCCGGAGAAGAAGCCCCGGCUAACUUCGUGCCAGCAGCCGCGGUAAUACGAAGGGGGCUAGCGUUGCUCGGAAUUACUGGGCGUAAAGGGCGCGUAGGCGGACAGCUUAGUCAGAGGUGAAAGCCCAGGGCUCAACCUUGGAAUUGCCUUUGAUACUGGCUGUCUUGAGUUUGGGAGAGGUGAGUGGAACUCCGAGUGUAGAGGUGAAAUUCGUAGAUAUUCGGAAGAACACCAGUGGCGAAGGCGACUCACUGGCCCAAUACUGACGCUGAGGCGCGAAAGCGUGGGGAGCAAACAGGAUUAGAUACCCUUGUAGUCC